rnacentral:rRNA from 1 species
GACGAACGCUGGCGGCGUGCUUAACACAUGCAAGUCGAACGGAAAGGCCCUGCUUUUGUGGGGUGCUCGAGUGGCGAACGGGUGAGUAACACGUGAGUAACCUGCCCUUGACUUUGGGAUAACUUCAGGAAACUGGGGCUAAUACCGGAUAGGAGCUCCUGCUGCAUGGUGGGGGUUGGAAAGUUUCGGCGGUUGGGGAUGGACUCGCGGCUUAUCAGCUUGUUGGUGGGGUAGUGGCUUACCAAGGCUUUGACGGGUAGCCGGCCUGAGAGGGUGACCGGCCACGAUGGGACUGAGAUACGGACCAGACUACUACGGGAGGCAGCAGUGGGGAGUAUUGCACAAGGGCCGGGAGCCUGAAGCCGCAACGCCGCGUGCGGGAUGACGGGCUACGGGUUGUAGGCCAAAUUCGCCUGUGACGAAGCGUGAAUGACGGUAAUGGGUAAAGAAGCACCGGCUAACUACAUG